rnacentral:rRNA from 1 species
UGCAAGUAGUUAUAUGUUUGUAUCAAAGAUUAAGUCAUGCAUGUGUAAGUAUAAGUAGUAUACGGCGAAACUGCGAAUGGCUCAUUAAAUCAGUUAUAAUUUAUCUGAUAAUCGAAAGUUACAUGGAUAACCGUGACAAAUUACAGCUAAUACAUGCAGUCAGACCUCGUCCAAGGGUCGUAAUUAUUAGUACCAAGCCAUCCCGCAAGGAGUGUGAUGAUUCAUAGUAAUCGAACGAAUCGCAGGUAUAUGCGAUAAGUCAUUCAAGUUUCUGCCCUAUCAGCUUUGGAUGGUAGUGUAUUGGACUACCAUGGCAGUCACGGGUAACGGAGAAUUAGGGUUCGAUUCCGGAGAGGGAGCCUGAGAAACGGCUACCACAUCUACGGAAGGCAGCAGGCGCGAAAAUUGCCCAAUCCCGACACGGGGAGGCAGUGACAAGAAAUAACAACUCUGGGAUUUCUCAGAAGUGUAAUGAGGAUAAUUUACAAACCUUACCGAAUGCAAUUGGAGGGCAAGUCUGGUGCCAGCAGCCGCGGUAAUUCCAGCUCCAAUAGCGUAUAUUAAAGUUGUUGCAGUUAAAAAGCUCGUAGUUGAAGUUCUGAUUGUUCAGGUCCCCAGCCCUUAGGCGGGGAUACUGACAGUCAUCCGCUUGCAAGUAUAUGUUCGGGUUUCACCGCCUGGCUAUAUGAGUAAGCAUUUUACCUUGAGAAAAACAGAGUGUUCCAGGCAGGUUUGUCCGGAAUGCAUUAGCAUGGAAUAAUAGAACAUGACUGAAGUCAGUUAUUGGUUUAGGGCUUUAGUAAUGAUUAAUAGGAACAGUCGGGGGCAUUCGUACCUUCAGCAGUCAGAGG